UAAGACAUGCAAGUCGAACGAGAUUUAGCAAAGCUUGCUUUGCGAGAUCUAGUGGCGAACGGGUGAGUAACACGUGAGCAACCUGCCCAGAAGCAGGGGAUAGCCCACCGAAAGGUGGAUUAAUACCGUAUGUGGUCCCAAGAGGCAUCUCUUGGAGAUUAAAGUCGGGGAUCUUUUAGACCUGGCACUUCUGGAUGGGCUCGCGGCCUAUCAGCUUGUUGGUGAGGUAACGGCUCACCAAGGCGACGACGGGUAGCUGGUCUGAGAGGAUGAUCAGUCACACUGGAACUGAGACACGGUCCAGACACCUACGGGUGGCAGCAGUCGAGAAUCAUUCACAAUGGGCGAAAGCCUGAUGGUGCGACGCCGCGUGGAGGAUGACAGCUCUAGGGUUGUAAACUCCUGUCAUGAGAGAGUAAAAACCUAUCGUUAAUAGCGAUCGGGUCUUGAUAGUAUCUCAAGAGGAAGGGACGGCUAACUUCGUGCCAGCAGCCGCGGUAAUACGAAGGUCCCAAGCGUUGUUCGGAAUCACUGGGCGUAAAGCGUGCGUAGGCGGCAUGGUAAGUCAGAUGUGAAAGCCCGGGGCUCAACCCCGGAACUGCAUCCGAUACUGCCAAGCUAGAGUAGUGGAGGGGAGUCUGGAAUUCACGGUGUAGCAGUGAAAUGCGUAGAUAUCGUGAGGAACACUAGUGGCGAAGGCGAGACUCUGGACACUAACUGACGCUGAGGCACGAAGGCUAGGGUAGCGAAAGGGAUUAGAUACCCCUGUAGUCCUAGCAGUAAACGGUGCGCGUUUGGUGUGGGCAGGUUCGACCCUGUCCGUGCCGGAGCUAACGCGUUAAACGCGCCGCCUGGGG
rnacentral:rRNA from 1 species